GCCGAGAGGUGGGAGAGGUGAGCUUGGGAAAGUCUGAGAGGAAACCUCCCGUGUUUCGCUCUCUGCUCGGGAGGACCAACUUGUCCCCCUUGUAGGGGCCCUGCCGCCAACGAUGUAUGCGAAGGAACAGUAAAACGGAAAUUUUACCGUUCAACAGUCGCAAGAGUAUUUAGAGGAAAAAAGUGUCACAGUUUGGUAAGAAGAUCAAAGGGCACGAUCAACAGCUCGUGCACUGCCUUGGUGUGGACCCAGAGUUCAAGCACAGACGAAGAUCAGACACUGACUUCACACUUCUGAUAGGAGCAUGAGCCCUCAGCUUGCUCGUAAAUUUCAGGACCUCUUCUCCUGCAUCCACAGGCGGGUAGAGGGUCAUCCUCAUCAACAGCUCUACCAGCGCCACCUCUACCUAGAAGAGUUGCUCCUCCUCCUCCAACUACUUUACCUAGAAUAAGUAGUAAACCAUCACCACCACCAUCACUUUUGUUGGAGGAUCUCUUCCUCCAGGAU